CCUGGUUGAUCCUGCCAGUAGUCAUAUGCUUGUCUUAAAGACUAAGCCAUGCAUGUCUAAGUAUAAAUAAUAUACAGUGAAACUGCGAAUGGCUCAUUAAAACAGUUAUAGUUUAUUCGAUAAUCUUUCUACAUGGAUAACCGUAGUAAUUCUAGAGCUAAUACAUGCUGCUAAACCUGACUUCUGGAAGGGUUGUAUUUAUUAGAUAUAAACCAAUGCCCUCGGGCGUUGUGAUGAUUCAUAAUAACUGAGCGAAUCGAGGCCGUGCCUUGAUGGAUCGUUCAAGUUUCUGCCCUAUCAGCUUUCGAUGGUAGUGUAUUGGACUACCAUGGCAGUCACGGGUAACGGGGAAUUAGGGUUCGAUUCCGGAGAGGGAGCCUGAGAAAUGGCUACCACUUCUAAGGAAGGCAGCAGGCGCGUAAAUUACCCAAUCCUGAUUCAGGGAGGUAGUGACAAGAAAUAACAACUCGGGUCUCCUUGGGAUUGCGAGAUUGCAAUGAGAACAAUUUAAACCACUUAUCCAGUAACAAUUGGAGGGCAAGUCUGGUGCCAGCAGCCGCGGUAAUUCCAGCUCCAAUAGCGUAUAUUAAAGUUGUUGCAGUUAAAAAGCUCGUAGUUGAAUAUCUGGCCGGUGCUGUUCUUGGCUCCCUGAGUCGGCUCAGCGCCUGGUCAUCCGUAUGGGAAACUAGCUCGACCUUCACUGGUCGGCUAGUGGAUCAUACACUUUACUUUGAAAAAAUUAGAGUGUUUCAGGCAGGCAAUUGCUUGGAUACUGUAGCAUGGAAUAAUGGAAUAGGACUUUGACCUAUUUGUUGGUUUCUCGAGGUCAAAGUAAUGAUUAAUAGGGACAGUUGGGGGCAUUCGUAUUUAAUUGUCAGAGGUGAAAUUCUUGGAUUUUUUAAAGACGAACUUAUGCGAAAGCAUUUGCCAAGGAUGUUUUCAUUAAUCAAGAACGAAAGUUAGGGGAUCAAAGACGAUCAGAUACCGUCGUAGUCUUAACCAUAAACUAUACCGACUUGGGAUCAGCAGGGUCUUCCAAGCUCUGUUGGCACCAUAUGAGAAAUCAAAGUCUUUGGGUUCUGGGGGGAG
rnacentral:rRNA from 1 species